UUCACCUUCCUCCUGUGUUAGCUUUUACUACGUACCCAGCAUGUUAAGGGUCGGUUUUGACCCGUGUCUUAAAUCAGCUGUAAAUUACACUAAAAACAAUUCUCUAUCAUCCAAUUUGGUUCUCAUCUCUAGGUUACCUUGUUAGGCUUCAUUAUCCAUGAAAAUAUUGCUGAUAAUAGUUUUUGUUGUGGUCCUCUGGGCCUUUCUUUGUCAGUAUACCCCUCACACAGACAUCUAUACUGAAUU